CUCUGAAAACAAUAUAAGCAAACAUGAUUGUGGAAUGGAAGUUCAUGGAAGUUCAACAAAUGGGAAAAUUCAUUCACAUUAUGACGCUACUAAGAAAUUUGGUCAGUCCAGGCAACUAUUUUUGAGUUAUCUAUGUCAACCUGAAGGAUCCAGUAAACUAGGAACACCAAACUCCUUGUUUGCAAUGUCAAAUGCAUAUUCCAGUCGUUUUGGAACAGACAUCUUUUGAGCCCCAUUUAUAU